rnacentral:rRNA from 1 species
GACGAACGCUGGCGGCGUGCUUAACACAUGCAAGUCGAAGCGGUAAGGCCCUUUCGGGGGUACACGAGCGGCGAACGGGUGAGUAACACGUGGGUGACCCUGCCCUCAGCUCUGGGAUAAGCCUGGGAAACUGGGUCUAAUACUGGAUAUGACUCCACGGUGCAUGUCGUGGGUGGAAAGCCUUGUGCGGCUGAGGAUGGGCCCGCGGCCUAUCAGCUUGUUGGUGGGGNGAUGGCCUACCAAGGCGACGACGGGUAGCCGGCCUGAGAGGGCGACCGGCCACACUGGGACUGAGACACGGGCCCAGACUCCUACGGGAGGCGAGCAGUGGGGAAUCUUGCGCAAUGGGCGAAAGCCUGACG